GACUAACGCUGGCGGCGUGUCUUAGACAUGCAAGUCGAACGGGUUGCUAUUUUGUAGCAAUACAGAAUAGCGCUAGUGGCGAACGGGUGAGUAAUACAAAAGUAAUUUCCCUUAGAGUGAAGCAUAACCGCGAGAAAUCGUGACUAAUUCUUCAUAUUCUCAAUAGACAUUAGUCUAUUGAGGAAAGGUUUCGGCCGCUCUGAGAUAAGCUUUUGGCCUAUCAGUUUGUUGGUGAGUUAACAGCCCACCAAGACUACGACGGGUAGGGGGUGUGAGAGCAUGACCCCCCACAUGGGAACUGCGACACGGUCCCAACUCCUACGGGAGGCAGCAGUCUAGAAAUUUGGGCAAUGGGCGAAAGCCUGACCCAGCGACGCCGCGUGAGGGAUGAAGUCUCUCGGGAUGUAAACCUCUGUUGAGGGGAACGAUAAUGACGGUACCCCUCGAGGAAGCCUCGGCUAACUCCGUGCCAGCAGCCGCGGUAAUACGGAGGAGGCAAGCGUUGUCCGGAAUCACUGGGCGUAAAGGGUGUGUAGGUGUCCUGAUGGGUCAAGUGUGAAAUCCAACAGCUUAACUGUUGAAGUGCAUCUGAAACUAUCGGGAUUGAGGACAUGAGGGGAGAGCGGAACUCGCGGUGUAGCGGUAGAAUGCGUGGAUAUCGCGAGGAAUACCGAUGGCGAAGGCGGCUCUCUAGUAUGUUUCUCGUAUGAGAAGCUGAAUAAUUUCAAUCUUCGGAUUUUCAUUAAUCAGUCCUGACACUGAAACACGAAAGCUGGGGGAGCGAACGGGAUUAGAUACCCCGGUAGUCCCAGCCCUAAACGAUGUACACUUGGCACGCGUUGUAUGAUGCGUGCCGUAGGUAACCUGUUAAGUGUACCGCCUGGGGAGUAUGCUCGCAAGGGUGAAACUCAAAGGAAUUGACGGGGACCCGCACAAGCGGUGGAGGAUGUGGUUCAAUUCGAGGCAACGCGAAGAACCUUACCUGGGCUUGACAUGCUGAUAGUACUAAACCGAAAGGUGAUGGAUUCCACCUCUGGUGGAAAGUCAGCACAGGUGCUGCAUGGCUGUCGUCAGCUCGUGCC
rnacentral:rRNA from 1 species